rnacentral:rRNA from 1 species
UACGAAGGGGGCUAGCGUUGCUCGGAAUUACUGGGCGUAAAGCGCACGUAGGCGGUCUUUUAAGUCGGGGGUGAAAUCCUGGAGCUCAACUCCAGAACUGCCUUCGAUACUGGAAGACUUGAGUCCGGGAGAGGUGAGUGGAACUGCGAGUGUAGAGGUGAAAUUCGUAGAUAUUCGCAAGAACACCAGUGGCGAAGGCGGCUCACUGGCCCGGUACUGACGCUGAGGUGCGAAAGCGUGGGGAGCAACAGGGAUAAGAAACCUUGUA